GCGGCAGGCCUGACACAUGCAAGUCGAGCGGAUGAGGGGAGCUUGCUCCCUGAUUUAGCGGCGGACGGGUGAGUAAUGCGUAGGAAGCUGCCCGAUAGAGGGGGAUACCAGUUGGAAACGACUGUUAAUACCGCAUAAUGUCUACGGACCAAAGUGUGGGACCUUCGGGCCACAUGCUAUCGGAUGCGCCUACGUGGGAUUAGCUAGUUGGUGAGGUAAUGGCUCACCAAGGCGACGAUCUCUAGCUGGUUUGAGAGGAUGAUCAGCCACACUGGAACUGAGACACGGUCCAGACUCCUACGGGAGGCAGCAGUGGGGAAUAUUGGACAAUGGGCGCAAGCCUGAUCCAGCCAUGCCGCGUGUGUGAAGAAGGCCUUCGGGUUGUAAAGCACUUUCAGCGAGGAGGAAGGGUGGUGUGUUAAUAGCACAUCAUUUUGACGUUACUCGCAGAAGAAGCACCGGCUAACUCUGUGCCAGCAGCCGCCGUAAGAC
rnacentral:rRNA from 1 species